AACAAACGCUGGCGGCGUGCCUAAUACAUGCAAGUCGAACGGGGAAAGUUCUUCGGAAUGAGUACUAGUGGCGUACGGGUGAGCAACACGUGGAUAAUCUUCCUUCAGGUGGGGAAUAACGAGUCGAAAGAUUCGCUAAUACCGCAUAAGACCACAGUAACUUUGGUUACAGGGGUUAAAGACUUCGGUCGCCUUUAGAUGAGUCUGCGUCCGAUUAGCUAGUUGGUGAGGUAAUGGCUCACCAAGGCGACGAUCGGUAACUGGUCUGAGAGGACGGCCAGUCACACUGGGACUGAGACACGGCCCAGACUCCUACGGGAGGCAGCAGUAGGGAAUUUUGCACAAUGGAGGAAACUCUGAUGCAGCGACGCCGCGUGAGUGAUGAAGGCCUUCGGGUCGUAAAGCUCUGUUCUCAGGGAAUAAAAAAUAGAAGGUACCUGAGGAGAAAGGACCGGCUAACUUACGUGCCAGCAGCCGCG
rnacentral:rRNA from 1 species